GACGAACGCUGGCGGCGUGCCUAAUACAUGCAAGUAGAACGCUGAAGGAGGAGCUUGCUCUUCUGGAUGAGUUGCGAACGGGUGAGUAACGCGUAGGUAACCUGCCUGGUAGCGGGGGAUAACUAUUGGAAACGAUAGCUAAUACCGCAUAACAGUAGAUGUUGCAUGACAUUUACUUAAAAGGUGCAACUGCAUCACUACCAGAUGGACCUGCGUUGUAUUAGCUAGUUGGUGGGGUAACGGCUCACCAAGGCGACGAUACAUAGCCGACCUGAGAGGGUGAUCGGCCACACUGGGACUGAGACACGGCCCAGACUCCUACGGGAGGCAGCAGUAGGGAAUCUUCGGCAAUGGACGGAAGUCUGACCGAGCAACGCCGCGUGAGUGAAGAAGGUUUUCGGAUCGUAAAGCUCUGUUGUAAGAGAAGAACGAGUGUGAGAGUGGAAAGUUCACACUGUGACGGUAUCUUACCAGAAAGGGACGGCUAACUACGUG
rnacentral:rRNA from 1 species